AGCUGUGACCACAGCUCAAGGACACCAGGACCCAGGUUCUUGGUCCUCUUUGGUUUUCUUCACCACAGACCAAUGGUUGCUCCUACUCCUCUGGAAGCUUCUCUGCAUUAGACGAAGGAUGUUUGAAACUCUUCAAGGAGUGGGACUGACCGAAUACCAGUCUGAUCCUGGGUGAGCUGGACUGCCACGUGCCCUUCAGCAGAGAGCCUUGGUAAGAUUCUUAAUUUUAUCCUCAGAUCCUUGGAAACGGGAAAUGGUAACAACACUUAGCCAUUUGUUGAUUUCAGAAUGUAAAAUCUCAGAAGAGAUUAUUCUUCUUGUCU
rnacentral:lncRNA from 1 species